UUUAGUUAAUGAGAGGAAGAAUCUCAAGUUUUAAUAGAGGGCGUUGGGGGAUCAGGAUAUACGGCGACUCAUAAUUCUUCCCUCUGCUGUUUGAUUGGUUUUUGAAUUAAAGUGUCUGGGGGCUGCAGGUAGGGUUAGAAAUAUUAGCUCCCCACGUGUGGCUUCAAAACCCUAUUUAUGGUAUGGAAGAUAACCUAAGUGCCUCUGUUAGAAAAGAAGAAAUAAUAACCUGUUUAAAUCAGCACUGGAUAAGAUAAGACCCAAGUAUAAGAAAUAAGAAUAGGGCUCUCAUGUGAUAGGAAUCAGAGUUUCCAUAGCUGGCUCUUUGAAAAUUAGUUGUGAAUAGCAGAGUAUGGUGGAGACUAUGGCUGCUUUACUUUUCAGCAUCUGCCUUGCUAAAUACUCUUCCCUAGUGUCCUUCUGACCGGAGGCAAAUUGGUUUAGUGGUUCUAGAAUGAAUGAAAUGUUUUUAAGCCAGACGUGGAUUUGAAACUGAACUCCACUACUUAGCAGCCAUAAGACUCUGGGGAAACAUGUGUCCGCAAAGAGAGAACAAUAAUACCCACCUAGACGCUGUUGGGUGGAUUAUGUGAGAUUGCGCGUAAAAUACUCACGGCACUUACUACAUACUAGACAGUCAGUGAAUGCCAGGUCAUUCCUUCCCCCUCUUCCGCUUCAUCGCAUCCCUGAGAGCAAACAAUCUGGUCUUUACCUUCCCUAACCUGUGUGUUUAUGUGUAUGUGUGUGGUCAGUUUGACACAGGCAUUAAUGAGUUCAGGGCUCAUUUAUCGAUCGCUUACUAUGUGCCAGGCACUAUUUUAACUAAUGGAUACAUCAGUGAACAUGAAAGGAUCCUGUGCCCCCGGAGCUUACAGUCUAGUUGGAGGGAGUAGUAUCACGGCCUGUGGUGGAACGGACGCUGAACAUAGUAAGUCAACCGUGUAUUAUGUUGUUUUCCUCCAUCGAGAAAAGAAGCAGAGCAGAGGAGGAGGUUAAUGGUGGGAGGGCACACGAGUUCCAGCUUCUAAAAGGGUGGUCAGGACAGUUGUCUCUGAGAAGAUGACGUCUGAGCGAAGACUUGUAAAGGGGGAGGAUUAACUGUGUACUUAUCUGGGAAAGAACAUUCCAGAGAGAAGGAGAGGCCAAUGCAAAGGCCUGAGACGAAGGAGCGCUGGGAGGCCGGUGUGGCUGUGGGACUGCGUGAGAGCUGGUGGAGUCUUCUGCCUGUGUCCCUCACUGGCUGAACUGAAGAGGAAACCAGAAAGCAAAGGAGCCCAGUGAUACAGUCCAUGAAGGGCAGCUUCCUGGGGCACGGGGAGAAAGAUGUGGAUUGGAUUUUGCCACGUCUGACCUACAACUAACUCCCUUUUGGCUUGAAAUCGGAAAGUUAAUUAGUUUCCCACUCCCCUUUCCAAAGCACUAGAAGGCCUCAAUAUUGUUUUGAGAGUGGGAAAAAUUCUUUUCAGAGAGCAAGACACAGCCCUGGGUAAUUUGCCAAUACCCUGUAGGCUUAUCCUCGGUAUUAUUGUUAUUACUGGCCAGAUACUCCUGACCUUCAUCAGAAACCAGAGGACUGGGAAGGGCAAAAGACAGAAGUUCUUUGAGCUCUAAAAUCAAGUGGUGCUCAAGAGAAUAGAGAGCCUUCUUUUAAAAUUCAGUUUAAACUAGACACAAGGGCUCAUCAGAUACAGUGUUCUCUCCUUUCUCUGCAUGACGCUGCAUAGGUGAGGGAAGAUUCCCUGAAGGAAUGAAAGAUCUAUUGCCUCCAGUUAGAGAAUAACCUUGAUAAAAGUCCUGCUGGAGAAAUGAAUAGACCCAAGUAAUCUUGGACGACACAAAGUUCGCACAGAGGCCGGCAUUCAUAGCUCAUGAGUUUCAUCUCUCUUGUUGGUGUUCAGUGUACAGCUACCACAGUGGCUGUCAAAGGUGAUUUGAGGAGUUUUCCUGAAUCUUAAACAGUGCAGAAGAGUUUUGUUUGCCUAAUUGUCUUUGACAGUCACGUGAUAAGAAAAUGUAGCAGUUGGGUAGCAAUGGGAGGAAUCCCCUAAAAGAAGAUACAGCAACUGCCUUGAUGGGCGGGAGCAAGGGCAAAAGAAAAUUGCCCUUGUGGGAGUCCUGGAGAGACGUCCUGAAAGAGAAGCCGGCUCUUGGGAAAGAUAAAUCCAGCGUCACUGACUCGACAGUCUGAGAUGCCUGCCUCCCUCCCUCCCACCACCUCCUCCUCCUCCUUUGGACAGGUGGAAAAGAUGACCCCAAAGAUUCCAAUGUCAUUGCCCUCCUGUUUCUGGGAAUGCAAAUGUGUGCAGCCACUCUGGAAAACAGUGGAGGUGUCGCAAAAGAGUUAAAAAUAGAACCACCCUAUGAUCCAAGAAUCGCAAUACUGGGUAUUUACCCAAAGAACACAGGAACACUAAUUCAGAGGGACAGAUGCGCCCUGGUGUUUAUAGCAGCAUUAUCUACAAAAGCCAAAUCAUGGAAGCAAUGCAAGUGUCCAUCAACUGAUGUAUGGAUAAGAAAGAUGUUGGAUAUAUAUAUAUAUAUAUAUAUAUAUAUAUAUAUAUAUACAUAUAUACAUAAUGGAAUAUUACUCAGCCGUAAAAAAGAAUGCAAUCUUGCCAUGUGCAAGCACAGGGAUGGAGCUGGAGAGUAUUAUGCUAAGUGAAAUAGGUCAAUCAGAGAAAGACAAAUGCCUGUUUUAUGUAGGUCAAGCUUUUGCUUAUGAGGUAACAUCCAUGGGUCAUAAACAUAUGUAGGCCUUUGGCGGCUGUUGAUCUCCUACAGUUUACUGAAUGACAGAAAGAAAUUACAAAUCGUCACCCCCUGGUCCCGAUCACCAUGAGUCACACUGUCAUUAUUCUCCAAUGCUGAGUGCUGUGGAAGCAGGGAGAGGACUUUUCAAUAGUUCUCUGGCACAGACAAUGGCUUAACCAUUUCUUUCUUCUGGAGUCGCGUUGUCCAUUAUGGUAGCCACCAAGUACACAUGGUUAUUAACAUUAAUUAAAACGAAACAAAACUUAAACAUUCAGUUCCUCACUUGGACUGGCCACAUUUCAAGUGCUCAGUAGCCACAUGUGGCUAGUGGUGGCUACUAUACAUUUGAGAGUGAAGAUAUAGAACAUUUAUAUCAUCACCGAAAGUCCUGUUGGACAGCACUGGUCAAGGAAAUUUCAACCUUCGGUGAAAAUCUACAGUAAAGCCGGAUGCCACGAUCCCAGGAGUACUUCUUUGGAAGUCCGUCCUGAAGGAUGAAAAUAUUUUAAAAGGCAUCCUUACCCUACCCCGUGCCGUGUUGUAUAUCCCCUUGCCCUGCCCCACCCCUGCUUUGGUAAACGCUAUCUUCUGCAGAGACGCUUCUUCGUGCAAGUGCUUGGGUAUUGACUGCAAUCUGAAUGCUGGUCUGCAGCACAGCCACCCCAUGCAGUGAGGGCAUUUGGAAGGGAACAUGUGUGAUGCCCUAGCACAUCGGAUGCAGAAUCCCUCAAUAGCGGGUUCGGUUAUUCUUAUUAAAUGCGUUGCAUUUAUUUUGUGAAGAUACACUGGCACCAUGAACUGAGCGGGUUUGGGGGGGCCUAUAGGAAAUCGUUCUGUAAGAAAUUAGGUAAAAGGAAAACAGUUCAGACCUUGGGACUUCCCUUCAAGAAGGUGAGUCAUGAUGAAAAGGAAGCUGGAGCUGGAGGAAAGGAGGAGGAGAAGCUAUGGAGAAGUGGAGCUCGAGCUCCUACACCAGGGCCUCCUAGCGUGUGACUCUUGUGUUUCUCCUGGCGUCCUGUCCUUGGACAGUCGCCUCUUUAGAUUAUGAACUCACUGGGGAAUGGCCGUGUUCACUUUAUGAGAUGUCUUGCACCUGUUCACUAACGGUGCUCAGUUAGUAUAAACCAGUACACCACGGGGAAUUAUAAAAGUUGCUGCAGUUAGAAAGCAAUGAGACUUGCUGUCUUCCAGACAGGGCCGUCUGCAUGACGUGACAGAUGGGCUGGUGAUCACCACUGUCUGGGUUUUGGCCUCAGGCUUGCAGAUCCUGAAACUCAGUUUUGACCAGAAGGCCAGGGUUGAUCAGGAGGAGCAGACUGAGUCUCAGUACCCAAGGUCAUAAGAGGCUGAUCAAGUCCCCUCUUGUUCCUGUCUAAUGGAAGACUUUUCUUUCUAGAACCUAAACUUCAACCAAAAACAUUUGUUAUAUGUUCUUACUUGUAUUUCCAGACACUCCCUUGUCAGAAUUAACGUUCCUAGGAGGUAGAGUUAGUCUUAAAAUGAUGCUUGUGGAAUCCCUAGAAUAACAUGGACACGGUGGCUCCUAGAUGUGUGCCUCGUGAUGGCCUGGGAAUCACAGCACAGAUAAUGUUACAGCAUGAUAAGAAUUGACAAAACGUUGACAGGUCACAUCACUCUGGUGAUUGGCAUGUCAAAGCGUUAUCUGCUUUUUCCUCUUGAACAAUAGCUGAUAUGUGUUCUUAGCUUUUUCCUCUUCUAUGCUCCCAAAGACUCUUCCCUUUCUAUCGUGUGGUUUUCCUCAGAUGUAGUGCCCCUGUUUUUUUUUAAAGUUUAUUUAUUUAUUUUGAGAGAGACAGUGAUAGCUUGAGUGGGGCAGUGGCGGGGGGGGGGGUGGUGGGGAGAGAGAGAGAAUCCCGAGCAGGUUUCGCACUGUCAGUGCAGAACCCAACGCAGGGGUCGAACCCAUGAACCAUGAGAUCAUGACCUGGGCUGAAACCAAGAGUUGGAUGCUCAACCAACUGAGCCACCCAGGUGCCCUCAGUUCACCUCUGCUGAAGCAGGGGCUAUUUAUAUAAAACAUAAUCUGCAUAGACCUACUGUUGUACAUAAUGCAGAUUGAACUAAAAUGGAGGUAGAACUGGAUAAAGAAGAUGUGGUACACACACGCACACACACACACAAUGGAAUAUUACUUGGGCAUCAAAAAGAAUUAAAUCUUGCCAUUUCCAAUGACAUGGAUGGUGCCAGAUGGAAUGUAUUAGUGCUAAGUGAAAUAAGUCAGUCGGAGAAAGACAAUACCAUAUGAUUUCACUCAUGUGGAAUUUAAAAAUAAAACAGAUUAACAUAGGAGAAGGGAACGAAAAAUAAAAUAAGAUAAAAAAACACAGGGAGGCAAACCAUA